UCUUCUCAAGUUGUAGAUAAAGCAAUGGAUCAAAGAGCUGCUCUGAGAGUUUAAGGAAAGAUGGACUGUGUACUUUUCUGAGAGACACUACAUAUCUGCAACUGAGCACCAGAACCUGGAUGGCUCCUAAAGGGUGUGGUUUCUUCUGCAGGGGGGGAUGCCUGUCAGCUUUGGAAACCAUAUUAGGCCGAAGGCUUCCACAUGCUGCCACUUUCUCCUGUAUGGGAAAGGAGUGGAGGGGGUGUUGGCAGUACAAGGUAUUAUUAGACAUAACAACAUUCUUCCUGCUGGUCAAAGUCAGGCUGAGCUUGCAUCUGGAAAAGGAGUGCCUGGAGUGAUGUCUCGACAUGGGACGGUUGAAGAUUGGAGCAUGUGAUCGCCAGAGGGGUCAUGAGGGUGGGAAUUUUGGGGUUUGUAUUACUGAGGGAGGAACCCGGAUCCCCAGAU